rnacentral:rRNA from 1 species
GAUCAUGGCUCAGGAUGAACGCUAGCUACAGGCUUAACACAUGCAAGUCGAGGGGCAGCAUUGGAGUAGCAAUACUCAGAUGGCGACCGGCGCACGGGUGAGUAACACGUAUCCAACCUGCCGCUUACUCGGGGAUAGCCUUUCGAAAGAAAGAUUAAUACCCGAUGGUAUAAAGAGUUCGCAUGUUCUCUUUAUUAAAGAAUUUCGGUAAGCGAUGGGGAUGCGUUCCAUUAGAUUGUUGGCGGGGUAACGGCCCACCAAGUCUACGAUGGAUAGGGGUUCUGAGAGGAAGGUCCCCCACAUUGGAACUGAGACGCGGUCCAAACUCCUACGGGAGGCAGCAGUGAGGAAUAUUGGUCAAUGGACGAGAGUCUGAACCAGCCAAAAGUAGCGUGAAGGAUGACUGCCCUAUGGGUUGUAAACUUCUUUUAUAAGGGAAUAAAGUGAGGGACGUGUCCCUUUUUGUAUGUACCUUAUGAAUAAGGAUCGGCUAACUCCGUGCCAGCCGCCGC